UGGAGGCAGCAGUGGGGAAUAUUGCAUAAUGGGCGCAAGCCUGAUGCAGCAACGCCGCGUGUGCGAUGAAGGCCUUCGGGUCGUAAAGCACUUUUAGAGCGGAUGAGGAAGGACAGUACGCUCUGAAUAAGCCUCGGCUAACUACGUGCCAGCAGCCGCGGUAAAACGUAGGAGGCGAGCGUUAUCCGGAUUUACUGGGCGUAAAGCGUGUGCAGGCGGUCGGGUAAGUUGGAUGUGAAAGCUCCUGGCUUAACUGGGAGAGGUCGUUCAAUACUACCGGACUAGAGGAUGGGAGAGGGAGGUGGAAUUCUGGGUGUAGUGGUGAAAUGCGUAGAUAUCCGGAGGAACACCAGUGGCGAAAGCGGCCUCCUGGCCCAAACCUGACGCUCAUACACGAAAGCUAGGGGAGCGAACGGGAUUAGAUACCCCGGU
rnacentral:rRNA from 1 species